rnacentral:rRNA from 1 species
GAGCGGCCGAUGUCUGAUUAGCUAGUUGGUAAGGUAAUGGCUUACCAAGGCAACGAUCAGUAGUUGGUCUGAGAGGACGACCAGCCACACUGGGACUGAGACACGGCCCAGACUCCUACGGGAGGCAGCAGUGGGGAAUUUUGGACAAUGGGCGCAAGCCUGAUCCAGCAAUGCCGCGUGAGUGAAGAAGGCCUUCGGGUUGUAAAGCUCUUUCAGUUGAGAAGAAAAGAUUGUAACUAAUAAUUGCAAUCCAUGACGGUAUCGACAGAAGAAGCACCGGCUAACUACGUGCCAGCAGCCGCGGUAAUACGUAGGGUGCGAGCGUUAAUCGGAAUUACUGGGCGUAAAGGGUGCGCAGGCGGUUUUGUAAGUCAGAUGUGAAAUCCCCGGGCUUAACCUGGGAACUGCGU